rnacentral:rRNA from 1 species
ACAUUGAGACAGGUGCUGCAUGGCUGUYGUCAGCUCGUGUCGUGAGAUGUUGGGUUAAGUCCCGUAACGAGCGCAACCCUUGUCCUUAGUUACCAGCACAUUAUGGUGGGCACUCUAAGGAGACUGCCGGUGACAAACCGGAGGAAGGUGGGGAUGACGUCAAGUCAUCAUGGCCCUUACGGCCUGGGCUACACACGUGCUACAAUGGUCGGUACARAGGGUUGCCAAGCCGCGAGGUGGAGCUAAUCUCACAAAACCGAUCGUAGUCCGGAUCGCAGUCUGCAACUCGACUGCGUGAAGUCGGAAUCGCUAGUAAUCGCGAAUCAGAAUGUCGCGGUGAAUACGUUCCCGGGCCUUGUACACACCGCCCGUCACACCAUGGGAGUGGGUUGCACCAGAAGUAGCUAGUCUAACCUA